UAAUACAGCUCUUUUGGCUGCAUUUUCCCUUAUGCUAUAGAAGCCCACAGCAUUGGAGUAACUGUCCACUUAAACCUCCCUUGCCAGAGCUGACUGCUAGCAGAAGUCCAUAUUUAAUGCCACUUCUGUAUAGAGUAAAACAGAUUUAGCAGAGUUACAUUUUCUGGUUAUAUUUGUCAUUAUGUGGCUCUGGUAAGAGCUCAGUAUCUCUUCUAAUGCUGUGUGCAGCUGAUGUUCCUAUAUUUCAUUAGUUACAAUGUACUGAAUUAGCAGGAAAAGGGAUGUCCCUUUCCUGAAUCAUCAUUUCAUAGUGUGCUUUAUGCUUUGGGGAAAGAACCUCAAGUGACUCAUACUUUUGUUAAUAUUUUAGAUUUUUACAAAUCGCAAACUUUAUACAACUCUCUUGGCUGUUAGCCAAUGGCUUUGUUUGCUUGAAUCUAGUGUACAGUCUGUUUGUUUGCUGGCACUGUGACAUGAAUCUCAAGGCUACCUCAAACUAUUGCAAGGUAUAGACUCCUGUGGUUUAGACAGUGAUGUCACCCUUGCAAGGAUCGCAGAGGGGAGAUGAGAGGUAUAGGCAACACAGACAAAUAGGUCUUAAACCUUUUUAAAGAAGUAUGAGUUCUCAGUUAGAUGUCUCUUCUUGCCAAUAGUGGUUGAAGGUAUUUUGGAGGCAGCCUCCUAUGGAGGGCAGAGAAGAGAGAACACAAGUUCCUUGGGUAGUUUAAGGAACCAUCUAGCUGAUGUUAGGUGUGGUGUGUAGGGCCUUGAGUAUUAGUGGGGAGUGGAGAACAAAAUGGUAGGGUGAGAGUCUAAAGACUUCUGAGGUUUUGCGUGAAGGCUGCUGGGGAUAUCCUUUCCCAAUUCAGUGUUGACAGCAGUGCUUAUCGGGAGCCUGCUAAGAGCCUACUAUGAAAAGAUACCAGACUUGAAGAAAUCAUUGCCGUGUAACUAGAGGAUUUGGGAUUCUUUCCCCCUGCCUCCCGUUCUUAAUGACUUUCUACAAGUAAAAACCAAGGACAGCUACUCCAAUGAAUCAUUAAACUUGACAUAAAAGUAGUCUUUGUAUAAGACUUAAGCAAAACAAACCAUAUUAUUUUGAAAAUGUUAAAUGAAUUUAAUUUCAUGCAGUUCUAAUUGUAUGAAAAUGAUGGAUUAGAAAUACUACUUGAAUAGUAACAUCUUAAGUUUUGUUUAUUAGGUGCAUCCUUGAUUUGACCUCUUUGCUACAGUAAUGGAGUUGCAUCCUGCUGUUGGAAUUAUACAGCAAAAUGAGAAGAUAUCAACAUGUAACACUACAUUUCAUGUUUUUAUUGAGAAGUUGCCUUCAGGAAAUGUCCUUUGAGGAAAAUCAAGUGAAUUAUAAACCAUUCAGUUGGUUUUCCUCGUGGCUGAUUUUUGACAUGUUCUGUUAGCUGUUAGAAACCUGUUGAAUAUCUUCAAUCCUGUAUAUCUUCAAUCCUGUAAACCUAGUUUAACAGCAGUCCAAAAAACCUGCACUACUUGUCAUGCAUUUAUAUAUAGAAAGUGACUUCAUUUCAAGGUUUUGUGCCGGUGGGUGGUAUUGGUGCUUUUCGAAGUCCAAGUAGAAUACUUAGAAAGGCCUUGUUGUUCGUUUAUGUUCAUCUGUAUAGUGUGGGGAGGGGAAAACCUGUUGUUGUUUCAGUACAAAUGUUUACCUUUUCUUUCCUCCUGCAAGCAACGCUGGUGGACUGCGGAAGAUAACAUGGGAUUCCAAGCUCUAAUGGACCUUUGUGAAGAGAAGUUGUGGCUCAUGUGGAAUUUACAUGGGCCUCUUGAUGGAAGAAAGCUUAUCUGUUUAGUAUUUGUGCAUUUUACUAAAAUGGCAGCUUUAAAAAAAAAAAAAAAAAGUUGUGUAUCUGCUAUUGUGAUGCCAAUGCCCGUGUUUUAAAGUGGAAAAAUGACCUCUUUGCUUUGUGCUGUGUACACAAGAUUUCUGGAAAAGUAAAGGAAUACCCUUUUUAUGGCUCACACAGCUUAAAAGUAGCUGUCACUCAAACAUGCGCUCACAGUUGAGCUGAUUUUGUUUCAUUCUAAAUAAAUUGUUUCUUUUGAGGAAAAUGUUUUUCUGCCUGGAAGUGAAUUGACAACAAACCUUUGACCCCUUUGUUUGCAGCUAAGGGGUACUUGCUGCUGCUGCUCAGUUGUUGAUCUGAUAGUUGUGGGUCUUGAGCAAGAAGCAGGGAGACCAUCACUUUCAUAUUGACCAGCCUGUUGUAUCAGAUCUGAAGAAUCUAGUUCAUUGUGUUGCUGUGGCACCUCCCUUUGAUUGCAAUGAAGGGGGUCAUUUGCUGCUAACUCCUCAUCUUUACGAGGAAACGGUGCUGAUGCGGGCAUGCAAGAAGCAGGGAAAACACCAUAAAAGCCUCAGAACAGUGUGCAAGUCUGGGGCUUCGCUGGUUUGAAGAGCUGGAGUUCCUGAAUUUUAAGUUUGAUUUAUUUUGUUCACCCAACUUGUUUGGCUUUAGUUUUGAUUUUUUUUUUUUUAAUUUGAAGAAAAAGUUUGAAAUUGCUUUGAAUCAUGCACGUAAACCUUUGCACCAAAUUGCCAAAAGAAAAGAAAAAUGAGUCUCAUUAAAAAGUGUUAAAUGAUGUUAAUAAAACCUUUCCUGACACACUUUGAGGAGCUCCUCCAUCUCCAGGGGCUUUUCACCAGAGUUAUGCAGUGAUGGGUUUAGUUCUGAAUGGAUGAAGAAUUCCAGAGCUAGAGUUUGUAAUUAAAACGUUUGCAUUGGUAUCAGUGCCUUAUUUUGGCCGGUUUUGAAGCAAAUGUUCCACACGCCUUGGAUGUGCAUGCACCCUGAUCGUUUCAUAGGUACGACUGCACGUUUGCUUGCGGUCACCUCAGUUUGUAGUACAGAUUGUGAGAGGAAAAUAUGGAGGCACCUUUGAAAAAAAUGUAUGCUGUAGUUCCUGCAUUAUCCUGUACGGGGGCUCCUGAGCUUUGGAAGGCUGUUCCAGUACAGGAGUACAACUCCAUGUUUGCUGCAGGAGACUUCGGGGCAUUUGACAACACCAGAGCUCAAGAGGAAGCUAACACUGCUGCAUCGUUGGCUUCAGAAACCUCUCGUGUUAUGUUUGCCAGUCUUUGUUAGAAUUAACUAGUCGCUGUCUGACAUGCAGAUGAAGACACCUUGAGAUGCGAGCUUGCUCUGGUUACCUUGAAAUCGUAAUCUACUGUGGAUAAAGAACCCUAGUCCUGUCCUUCAUCCAUGCAGGAUGAUUGCUAGGCAACAGGUGCUUAUCAACAAAGGAUGCCACGAUUUUGUUCUGCAAGGUGUCCGUUCCCGUGGCAAACAGCUGUAUAAAUCUCUUAUAAACAGGAUUGUUCAGCCCCUCUGGAUUGGUUAGAGGGACGCCUUAACGUGCCAGGUUUCCACAGAUAUGGAAGCAGGAACUGAAAACCCGCAACUGAGAGCCGGAGUACUAACAAAUUUACAAUGAUUUCUGCUUUUGUGGAAACAGGUACUGGGUCUUCAGAUAUAUAAGGUAAGUCUUUAAAAUAAGAGUUUAUAAAGUAUUUUAACUUUUAUUUUUGCAAAUUUGACCUCUUUUUCUCCAGAAACAAUUGAAAAAGCCACCAAGAUGAGUGGUUUGUUUGUUUUUUAUCAGUCAUGGUGAACAGCCAUAAGGUUUUAGAUUGUUACUGCAUUAUCAUCAAAAAUCAGAGCAGUCACAGUACAUUUUUAGUAAAAGUCAAGGAUUUUGUGCUGAUUGAUUAAAAAAAAUGCUGUGACAAAUGAAAUUCAACUAUACCUUGCUAAAAUAUAGGCUAGCAUCCUUCUCUGCUGCUUCCUCCUUGCCCUGACCACCCACAUUCGC